CUAGUGAUUAGGGUUUGAUUAUGGCUCAGAUUGAACGCUGGCGGCAGGCCUAACACAUGCAAGUCGAGCGCGAAAGCACUUCGGUGUGAGUAGAGCGGCGGACGGGUGAGUAACGCGUAGGAAUCUACCUGGUAGUGGGGGACAACUCGGGGAAACUCGAGCCAAUACCGCAUACGCCCUACGGGGGAAAGCGGGGGACCUUCGGGCCUCGCGCUAUCAGAUGAGCCUGCGUUGGAUUAGCUAGUUGGUGGGGUAAUGGCCUACCAAGGCGACGAUCCAUAGCUGGUCUGAGAGGAUGAUCAGCCACACCGGGACUGAGACACGGCCCGGACUCCUACGGGAGGCAGCAGUGGGGAAUAUUGCGCAAUGGGCGAAAGCCUGACGCAGCCAUGCCGCGUGUGUGAAGAAGGCCUUCGGGUUGUAAAGCACUUUCAAUUGGGAGGAAAGGUUCACGGCUAAUACCCGUGAGCCGUGACGUUACCUUUAGAAGAAGCACCGGCUAACUCCGUGC
rnacentral:rRNA from 1 species